GGUAUCCCGGUGCAAGCGAGGUACCAGAUGCGUUGGAAAAACCGCGCAUCAAUGGGAAGACGUGAUGCGGAGUGAAGUUUAGUAAUGAAGUCCGUGAGCUGUGCGUCAAGAAAAGCCGCUAUUGUUCAUACCAUACCCGUACCGUAAACCGACACAGGUGGAUGAGGAGAGAAUCCUAAGGCCGGCGGAAGAAGCAUUGUCAAGGAACUCGGCAAAAUGACCCCGUAACUUCGGGAGAAGGGGUGCCACUGAGAAGUGGCCGCAGAGAAUAGGCUCAAGCAACUGUUUAGCAAAAACACAGGUCUAUGCGAAACCGUAAGGUGAGGUAUAUGGGCUGACGCCUGCCCGGUGCUGGAAGGUUAAGAGGAGAGGUUAGCGGAAACGCGAAGCUUUGAAUUUAAGCCCCAGUAAACGGCGGCCGUAACUAUAACGGUCCUAAGGUAGCGAGAUUCCUUGUCGGGUAAGUUCCGACCCGCACGAAAGGCGUAAUGAUUUGAGCGCUGUCUCGACAAUGCAUCCGGUGAAAUUGAAGUACCAGUGAAGAUGCUGGUUACCUGCGCCAGGACGGAAAGACCCCAUGGAGCUUUACUCCAGUUUGGUACUGGGAUCCGGUACUGCAUGUACAGGAUAGGUGGGAGGCUGAGAAAUGGUAACGCCAGUUGCCAUGGAGCCGCUGUUGGGAUACCACCCUUGCAGUAUUGGGUUUCUAACCAGCCGCCGUGACCCGGCGGUGGGACAAUGCCAGACGGGGAGUUUGACUGGGGCGGUCGCCUCCGAAAGGGUAUCGGAGGCGCCCAAAGGUUCCCUCAGGAUGGACGGAAACCAUCCAAAGAGUGCAAAGGCAGAAGGGAGCUUGACUGCGACACCGACGGGUGGAGCAGGUACGAAAGUAGGGCUUAGUGAUCCGGUGGUAUUAAGUGGGAAUGCCAUCGCUCAACGGAUAAAAGCUACCCUGGGAUAACAGCUUAUCACUCCCAAGAGUUCACAUCGACGGAGUGGUUUGGCACCUCGAUGUCGGCUCAUCGCAUCCUGGGGCUGUAGUAGGUCCCAAGGGUUGGGCUGUUCGCCCAUUAAAGCGGUACGCGAGCUGGGUUCAGAACGUCGUGAGACAGUUCGGUCCCUAUCCGGCGUGGGCGUAGGAUAUCUGAGAGGAGCUGUCCUUAGUACGAGAGGACCGGGAUGGACGGGCCGCUGGUGCACCGGUUAGACUGCCAAGUCUAUAGCCGGGUAGCCAAGCCCGGAAGGGAUAAACGCUGAAGGCAUCUAAGCGUGAAGCCCCCCUCAAGAUGAGAUAUCCCAUCCGAAAGGAGUAAACCCCCUUGAAGACGACGAGGUUGAUAGGGCAGGGGUGGAAGUGUGGUAACACAUGGAGCUGACUGCUACUAAUAGGGUGAGGGCUUGACC
rnacentral:rRNA from 1 species